rnacentral:lncRNA from 1 species
AAAAACUUGAUUUAUAUAAAUAAUAACACGAAUCCCCAGAAGUUUAUCAUCUUUACAAAUCAAAUCUCUUGAAGGAAAAUAACGAACAAAUAAACUAAAAUUUAGAAAACCUUUAUGAAAGAAAGAAAACGAAACUAAAUCUAGAAAGAAUCUAGACUAAUGGAAUGGUGUUUAUAACAUGUGCCAAAGGAGCCUAUUUAUAGCCUUCAGGUGGCUAUUCUCGAGCUUUAAGUUUGAUUGUGCAGACCAAAACGCCACAGCUUUGUGUUUACUUUUCUUCCUAGAGUUGAUGUCGCGACACACCAGGACUUGUGUCGCGACAUAGAAGUCAGUAUGCUCCUUGGGGAUGUCUUCAAGGGUAUGUCGUGCCAUCCUCUGUCUAUGUCGCGACAUUGAAGGCAGUUUCAUACUUUCUCCAUUUUUCUCUUUAUGUUGCAACAUCGGGCCUCCCGUGUUGUGACAUACUGUCUAAUAUCAAUCUAAAAUGCCUUCUAAUAGUCUCCUGCAACUCACAAAGUACGUUAACUCUCCCUUAGAGCUCAUUCAACCUUUAAGGUUAAUGAAAGACUCAAUUCACACAUUUUAUUAGAUAUAAGUAAAACAAAAGAAACUUAACUAAAAUAUAAUGAAAAUGCUUGUAUUCAGGCUCCUUAAGUGUGAAAACUAGUUUAAUCUACUACACCGAAUUAAGACAAAUCAAACUCCCCUACACUUAAGUUAUUGUGUGUAGCAUCUCGAUUUUGGGCCUAGUCGGAACAGUGGUUUUGGGACCACAAAUCCGAUGAGGAAAAAUUUAAUUUUCUUAUAUUUUUAUGGUCUACGAUUUCACAAAAUGAUUUCAUGAAAAUUUUGACGUUUGGGCACUCAAUUUAGUCAAAAGGACUAAAUUGUAAAAAGUACAAAAGUUGAGUUCUACAUGUUAAAGGUGUCCAAUUGUUAUGAAAUUUUAAAUUGGAGGUCCUUAUAUGGUAAUUAGACCAUUGGUUAAGUUGGUAGACAAAAACGGACAUGGUUAGGCAUGUUUCCAAAGUUUUUCAUUAAGGGCAUUUUGGUCAUUUAGUUAUUAAAAUGAAUUAAAAACAAAAUUAAAAGCCAAUUUUUGUCCAUCUUCAACCCCAUGGCCGAAUUUCACAAGGGGAAACCAUGGCUAGGGUUUUUCAAGCUUUCAAGCUCGAUUGUAGGUUUGUUCUAGCCCCGUUUUUAAUGUUCUUUACGUUUUUAGAAUCCCGGUAGCUUAAUUUAGCUUAUUCUAGCAAUAAUUUAACCUAGAGUUCAUAUUUGGAAAAAUACCCAUAGGUGAAAUAUGUUUAUUUUGAUGUUUUAUGGUAGAAUAUGAAGCUAGAAAUUAUGUUAAACAACUUUUGCUAGUCGAUUUUAAGUGAAAACGAGUAAAACAACAUAAUCGGUAAAAAUACCUAAUGUUCAUAAGUGUUAGAGUGAGAAUUUGAUGUUGCCAUAGAAGGGAAAAAUGUUCAGCAUGUCAUAAAACAUAAGAAUAAGGGAUGAGUUUAAUUUCUGAGCUUUGGGACAAAAGUGUAAAUAUGCAAAAGUUUAAGGGUAAAAAUGUAAUUUUGUCAAAGUUCGAGUUAAGGACUGUUUUGAUGAAUGUGAUUAUUAAAUAAGCUAAAUUUUCUAUUAUAGAUCAAGAAGAACAAAAUUCGAAGUUAGACCGGGGAAAGAAAAAGGUUGAGGACUAAAGUGCUAGAUUUGAUCAUAUUUUGUACCGAGGUAAGUUUAUGGUAAAUAAAUACAAUAUUUCAAUAAUAUUUUUAUUUUCCAAAAAUUAUGCAUUUAUUUUAUGAAUUUAUUUAAUGUUGACUCAAGUAUGAGAUGACAGAGAAUCGGUGUUAAAAAGCCCCGUUGAAAUAUGAGGAAUGUAUUAGAUACAAAUGUCAUGACAUUUGGGUAAAGAGAUCCCAUGUAAGACCAUGUCUGGGACAUGGCAUUGGCAUCAUUGAGAUUAUGAGAGGUCUCAUGUAAGACCAUGUUUGGGACAUGGCGUUGGCACCGAGAUGAGAGGUCCCAUGUAAGACCAUGUCUAGGACAUGGCAUUGGCACCAAGAUGAGAGGUCCCCUGUAAGACCAUGUCUGGGACAUGGCAUGGGCACCUAUAUGAGAACUCCUAUGUAAGACCAUAUCUGGGAUAUGACAUUGGCAGUACAAGAAACAUCCCAUGUAAGACUAUGUCUGGGACAUAGCUUUGGCAUGUUAUAUUCAGACAGGAGACCUGAGUAUCCUUAGUAUUCCAAGUGAUUCAACGGGCUAGUAAAUAGACGAUGUUACAUGAAAGUUCAGGUAAAAGCCUAAUAGACAAGUUCAGGUGAGUUAAUAAGAUUAAGAGUAUCUCAGUUAUCAGUUGAGAAAAGAAAUUUCAGCAACGAAGGAGUAAGUUAAGCAAGCAAGUAAGUAAACGAGUAAGAGAGUAAGUAAAGAAGAAAGUAAAGAUCUUAAUGCUUAAUAAAAAUUUAUGAAUAUAAUUUUUUAUGAUAAAUGUUGUUAUUUAUUUCCUUGUAAACUUACUAAGCUUUAUGCUUAUAUCUUUUAUUUCUUUUUCUUUCAUAUAGUAUUAUCAAGCAUAGUCAGGAUCUUGAAGACGUCGGAAAGCGUUCACACUAUCAACCACCACAACUCGGUAUUUUAAGACAAUAAAUGUUUUGAGCUAUGACAUGUAUAGGGACUUGGUCAUUUCGAUUGUAUAUUCUUAAGAUAUGACCAAAAGAUGAUAUGUAAAUAUUUGAUGAUGAAUAGUUAUUAAAAUGGCUAAAUAUGAAGGUGUUUGUUGUUAUAAAUGUCUAGGUGAUAAAUUAUGCAUAGAAAUCAUGAAAAAGUAAAAAUUGGCAGUGAAUCAGUUUUGAGACAACAGUAGUGAUGUGAUUUUGAAAAAUCACCAAGGAUAGUAGAAAAUGAAUUAGAGGGUGGAUGAGAUAUAGAAAUAAAUCUUAUUGAGUCUAUUUUCAUAGAAAAAUAACAGUGUAGACAAAAAAAUUACGUAUUCUGAGAUAUUUGUAUUUUAGUUAGACAAGGUCAAAGUGGUUUUCGGAAUCCCCUGUUCUGAAUUUGGAAAAUCAUUAAAAUUUUAAAAAAAAUUUAUGAAUUGUAAUUUAUAUGUAUAUAUUCCUUAUUGAGCCUAUUUUCUGUAGAAAUAAGUGAGAACACUAUAUGAAGUCUGUACAAUAAGAUAAUUGAAUUUUAGUGACGAGAGGUUAGGACAGUUGAUCAGUGAAACAGGGAGAUUUUAACUAAUAAACUGUACUAAUUUGCUAAACCUAAAAUUAUAAAAAAUUUAUGGUAAAAAUAUAUAUGAGUCUAGUUUCAGGAAAAAUUUACGGAUCUAAAUUUUGAGUUUCGUAGCUCGAAUUAUAAUUGAUUUAGUGACUGUUGCGCAGGUGGACAGCCAUAUUAUGAACAGUGAAAUAACUUUUAAAAGUAAAUUUUUAUGCCCCGAACUUUUAAGUUAAGUCAAGUAAUGCCUCAUGCUCGACUCCGGCAACGGUCUCGGGUAAGGGUUGUUACAUUGUGUGUCCUUAAGUAACAUAAAUAAAAAUAAUAAAAUGACGACCCUUGAGCAAACAUGAUACAAGUAUUGACUUCAGAGCAUAUGACUUAGGCAUUUCAUACUUACAAACAAUCUUAACAUGAUGAGUAGUUGACUUACCACUUUUGACCACAAACAUCUAAGUUCAGUAUUUUACAAAGUAUACAAGUAUUAAGGGACUCACCUGUAGGAAUCCAUCAACAGAUCAUACAAGUACUUUGAUUAUCUGAGCAUAAUAUAAAUAAUCAUUUAUGCAUAUGUUUAGUACGAUGUCCAUUCAUGUAUAAGAAUAUUUUAGGUCACAUAGGACCUUUCGGCUUGUAACGUUCUGAGGCUUAGGACAAGUAUGAAAUUAAAAAAAAAGUAAGCAUAAAAAAUGGUUACAAACAUGAAAAUAGUUUGGCACAUCAUAUUGGUCCCUAUUCUUCUCCCUUAGUGACCUUUACUUGCUCACUACCUUAUUUCUCAUUCUCUCACCUUCAUUAUCUCUCCACAUAGGAAAUCAUAGCAUGACAUAGUAGUUAUAGCUAGCCUACGAGUUUCUAUGCACUCAUGAACAAGUUUUUCUAUUUUUGUAAAUUUAUGACUUUUCUCUUUUUUUUUUAAUUUUUUCUCACUCAAUAAUGCUUUUUAGCUUUUCAAGUACUUAUCCUACUCGUAUUGAUUUUCUUUUGCAUUUUUCUCUUGUUUUGCACUUUCAAGCUAACAUAUAGUUCCCAUAUCACACUAAUAUUUCCUUUUUCACUCUAUUUUUACAAAAUCCACCGUAAUGUAUCUAUUUAACCCUAAAUAUGUAUGACUAGACGUCUAUAAUCGUGCAGUGUAGGACAAAAGAAAAAAGGCAAAUACAAAUUAACGUUUUCAAGCUCAAGGCUUGUAAUGGGGUUUAUCAAGAAGUGUCAAUAGGCUCAAAAAUUGUUAUUAAAGGUGAAAUAUAAAUAGGAAAGCUUUUUGGCUCUGGAUGUGUUCCAAACAAUGCCUUAGGUCAUCCCUAAAUAUCUCAACAUGCACAAAUUUAAUCAACCAAACAAAUACAAAUUCAACCAUUUAUCAUUCGUACUAGUAUGCUCAUUUCCUUGUAUUUUCUAUAUCACUUGGUACAGUUGAUUACUUAAUGCCUAUUUAUAGUGUAACAUAUAGAACUUAGUAUCUAAUAAUAAAAAAUUUAAAAUCACCUAUCAUCAUACCAAAUUUAUUCAUAAACACAAGCAACCUAUGUACAUGCUCCUAACCAAUCACUUAUGUUUCUACAAGCUCAAGCACUCAAAAGACAAGAAAAAUUUAAAAAUGAAUUUCCUAUGUCACCUCCCCACACUUUAGUUGACACGUUGUCCCCAAUGUGUAGCCCAUAAAAAGACAAGGAAAGAAGUUACCUAAUUGAUCGUGAUCGUUCUAGCUUUUAUUGAUGGGUACUUACUCAUUUGUUAUUUUUGUUUCGUCUGUAGAAGAUCAAAUUGCUUGAAUAAAUCAUCACCGAGUAAUUUCCUUGGGGGAUUCAUGGUUUUAUCCAUCCGUUCAAUAAGUACUCUAGCCCUUUUAUAUAAUUCUGUAAUUAGAUUAGGGAAAAAUAUUCUCUUUCCUAAAUUCCUCGUACAAUCAACCAUUUUCUUAUAUAUCCAUAUUGCAAUACAUAUUUGUUAUUUUUGAAGGUUACCAUAAGUUAUGAUCACUUGGACUAAUCUCAGAAAACUCUGUUAUAGGCCAUAUUCUUGAACAUAUGAAUUUCAUCAACAUAUUAGCUUUUGGUGUCAUUAGCUCCUGAUUUAAUGUUUCAGGUAUUACUAUCCCUGUUCGAUAUGUCCACAUCUCUUUCCAUUUUGUUAGGAAUCUCAAUAUUUCCUCUGUAUCAAUGUUUCUAAAUUCUUUCAAAUCUAUUUUAUAGAGAUAAUCGCGAUAACUAUAACACCUCUAACCCGUACCCGUCGCGGAAAUAGGGCUAUGGAGCAUUACUGUAAAAACAUAUCAUCAAAACAUUUAUUUCAAAACACUUCAUGAAUCAUAUCUUAUUCCACUCAAACACAUUAAUAUCAUCCCUAAUUCGAGCCCCCGAGGCCUUAGACACACUUUAGAAAUGAUUCGGGACUAAAUUGAAAACAUUUCAAAUUUCAUGGGACAAGAUAGAAAAAUUCACACUGCAGGGGUCACACGGUCGUGUGACUCACACGGUUGAGACACAUGCCCGUGUCUUAGAUCGUGUGGAAAUUCAAAGUAGGGACACACAGCCGUGUCCCAGCCCGUGUCCGUGCCCGUGUAACUCUCUAACUUGGGUCACACGGCCAAGCCACACGCCCGUGUGCCAGGCCGUGUAAUAAUUUAUUGUAUUUAGGUUUGUAAUAAUUUAUUUUAUGAAUUGUGGCAUGGGUAUUUUUACGGAGAUAUUUUGAUAUUUGCAUGCAUUGUGACCAAAACUAGAUAAAUUAAAUAACUGAAUAACAAACUAAUAAUUAAUCUUUUAAACUUAAGAAUGAUAGUUUUUAUUAAUAAAUUAUAAACUAUUGACUUUCCAUUGCAAAACUAGUUUUCGAAACUCUGAAUGACAAAUUAAUAGUUAAAUAUGUUUCCAAAAUUAAUAAAAGCUUUUGUUUAAUUGGAUCUUAGUUAAAUUCAACAUAAAUUAAUAAUUUUAUAAAUUCAAGUAAGCCCAUUUUGUUAUUCCAUAAAAUAAGCCAUUACUUUAAGAAAAUAAAAAUUUUCGAAAGCCUAAUUUUUUUCCUAGGUAAUUUUGAUAGCUAAUGUGACCUUCAAAAUCCUAACAUAACUUUUGGCCUGAGUUGAGGAGAUUACAUAAACUACCAUAAAUAUGUGGAUAAACCACUAGAAUUGCAGAUAGACUGCCAGAAAUAUGUGGAUGAAACACCGAAAUUGCAGAUAAAUUGUCAGAAAUUCCUCCUUACAUAUCAUCCCAAUCCCCAUACAAUGCAUUAUGGCAUAACAAAAUCAUAAUCAAUACAAUAGGCAUGCUUCAACAUGAAAUCAGUUUUAAUAGACACAAUGGACAUGCUUUUCAUCAUGCGCUCAGUAAAAUGGUAACAGUAAACAUGUGAUCAGAAUAUCGGCAACAAUAUUCUGCCAUAAUAUCAUAAAACAUACAAAUUAGAACAAAAAAUAUAAUAACAAUAUACACAAUUUCAGUCAACACAGAAGCCAUAGUCAGAGACACUUACAUUCAGCCAACCCUAGUAAAGGGCUUAAAUCUCAUUCGGCUAAUCACCAAAGGCACUCAUGCAUUCGAUUAGUCACAAUUAAGGCAUAGAUCAUAUGGAUACUACUAAACGCAAAUAAAACACUUAUGGACAAUACUUAUGGAAAUUUAUUUGGUUAGAACUCACACCUUAAUUUGUACAUCCCAAACAACACUAUAUCUAAUUUGGAACACUCCUUUGCUACAUAUGUAGUCAGAUCUCGUCCAGAUCUGAACUUUGAAUGAACAAAGCACAGAAAACACACCAUAUUAGAUUUGAUUAUGCUAGAUCUGGAAAAGAUCUAUAAUUAUGAUUACUAACCGAAAGAAGAUUACUUACCCUUAUCUCCGAUUUACAAAUCUAACCCGACAACACUUUGAUAGAUCAGAUUUGAUCAGAUGUGUCCAGAUCUAUACCUUAAACAAAGAAUCAUAUGCAUAUUAGGAUUGGUAUCGUUGGAUCAGGGAAGGAAAAAAAAUGAGAUCUAAUAACAUAAAACACUUACACUUCACCAAAAAUCAGAUCAAGAACGAACAAUUAGUGGAGAUCUAGACGGUUAAAGGAGAUUCGGCUAUAGGAGAAUAAAAAUGGAAAGAAAAAGAGAAGAUGAGAAAAAUUGGUGGCGACACGGCAACAACGCG